CACUGAACAAAAGUUGUUGCAAUAUAGCGUAUGAUUUGUCAUAUGAAUAACCCAAAAGCUCAACGUUGACGAUUUCGAAAGGCGAUCAUUCGAAAAAAUAAUGACUUGAAAAUCGAAUGACAUCAUGUCUGUAUUGGAAUGAAGAGGCUCGUGAUUUUCAAAUGAGUAACAAAACGUCAAAUGAAUUGCUUGCAUUCGAAAAAGGUAAACGAUGAUGCCUAUGAUUAUCAUCUCAAAAACCAGCAGUGUAUCAUUCGUGUUUCAUCAUUGUUUAGUAUUUGGGCUGAAUCAAAUGAGAAUACAUAUAAUUUUCACUGGAACGCCUAAUGAUUUUCAUACAGCUGUCAGAAAUAUGAAAAAUUAAUAAUCAAACAAAAUAAAAUGGCGAUCAACUACUGAUGCAUCUGCUUAUGUGAGAAUUUACUAACAUAUAAAUAUUUUAUUAAAAAUGUAAAAUAACAAUCUUUCGAAACAUAAAAGCGGUCACCUUUUUUUAUUUGUACAAUGUGGACGUCAACAAACUGCUUGAUAUUUAUUGAGUAAACAACGAACGUCAAUAUUAGCAUUCUGCUGCGACGCUAAUGAAACUACUAGAAUGCAGAAAAAAUAAUCUGGAACCACAAGACAAGGCGUCCUUGGAGCAAACACCAAAAUCCAGCCCAUUCCCCAUCGGUUGCCAUAACAGCGAAGACGAAUUUAUGUACAUAUCCGGCAAAUUAGAGCAAGUCUACAUCGAUGUAACAUCCGUAAGUUAUUGGAGAGACUGGUACCGCCAACUUACGCAAAAACGAACGCGCAGGCGUGGUUAGCCUACGGCAUACUUUCCCACCAAGCAGGGUAUCCACGGUACCAACAAAUGAUCACGUAUAAUCCUGUGGGGCGAUAAAAUUUACGGCAAGAAACAUUUCUUGUUUCAUGGAGAACAAAUAAAAUCUGUUAGAAUCCAAUUUAAGCAUUAACAGCGUACACGUGUCACUAUUGAUGAGUCAUUGGUUCGAAUGGAAACUAUCUGACGAAAGUGACGGUAGUUUAUCGAUCUCCUUCGAAGUCGUAUACCAACAUAAAGGCUGCCACCAUGAACCACCCAUUGAAGCUCUCAAUUUAAGUGAAUGUGAUGACGUUGAUAGAAAAACCUUCGUUUUCGAUUGAUGAAAGAUGGUUAUGGUAAGGUUUUGCAUUAUCAGUGGAAUUCAUAGAAAAUCUUUACGGAACACCGGAAGCUUCUGAAAUCUUCCAAGUAGCCCUGAUGGCUGGAUGUUGGCUGGAAGUAACGAGAUGACGUGACGGUAACCGUAAAAAGCAUGCAAGUAGCACAUCAAAGAGCAACAACACUUCGAGUUCUCCAAUCGGACAUUUUGAUUUGCACAUGAAACCAGAUCUGGUUGGAAAACCCGAUAGCUCGUCAUCACCGUAGUUCCCAAACUUAGUAGACUGCGUAACGCAGCGACUUGACUGAGUUCGGUUAUAAUUGCAGUUUCUGUGAGUUGACUCAUUUCAAUCAAAGAUGCAGUGGAAUGCAAUUGCGGUUCUAAUCUUGGUACCCUUACUACUAAAAAUACGAUAUUCUAAAAGUGAAACUAACGACAAAAUUCCAGCAGAUGAAUUCAUUCGAUUAACACUGCUGCUGUGAAUCGUAAAGAGCAUGAUAGUGGACGUACCCGAUUGAGUUUUUUCUAUUUAUGCAGUCUCUAGGGUAGCAGAAUACGAGCAUUAUAUUAAGUGGGACGACAAAC